CUCUUAUGUUCUUGUCCAGGCUCGUAUGAGUGUGGGGAGAUUUCCUGUCGGCACAGUGCAGUGCCGUGUACAGUGAGUCUGCGCUGCAUCACAACACAGUGAGGCGAAUGGGUGGAGAGAACUUCGGAGGGAUUUGUAAUCUGCUCAAGCAUGCAGACGGAGUGAUGUCACAUGCUGCAGUCCCACCUGGAGGCGCACGGAUCAUCAUCAAGCCAAAUACCCCCGAUAACCUCCUUAAAUGUCUUUAUUUAUGUCUGAUUUGUGCACUCAAGCCAGAUGUGGCGCUAAAGCCGCAAUAUGAUGCAUAGGUCAUAACAGCUACAUCUUGAUUGUCAAGCGGAACAGAAAAUGGGGAAAUUCAUGCGGUUUGAUUAAACUUUUACUUCGCUUCUUUUUCACUUCCUCUCUCUUGCGCUUUGUUUUGAUGCCGCCCGUUAUGGUGGAAGCACGUCACUCAUGACCACAGAAUUUCUGAGGAACUGCGAUAAGGGCAGACAGUUGCGCGUCAGUGGAAGGUGGUAACCUGGCUCAUACGUAACUGUUAUGACAAAGCCGAUUUAACGGCUACACAUGUCCGGGCCUCGGCCGCCACGGUUUCGAAACAUUUUAACAGGAACACAAUCGAAUCAUUAAAAAUAUGUCAAGUAGAAUCACACAAUGCAGUCCACAUUGGUUCAUUUGGUCUUCAAGUCAAUGUCUUACUACUUCUUAGUAAAAAAAAAUAACCAAUGUUGAAUUGCUCUUCCAGGGGUAAUCACAGGCAAGACAGUGUAGGGGGUUAACAAGUCUAUUUGACAGUCGACGGGUUCUGGGUUUGAAUCUGAGCACUGCUGAGUGAAGUUUGUAUCAUGAUGCUUGUGUGGGUUUUUCAUGAAUACUCGGCCUUCUUCUCACAUUCCAAAAACAUGAAUGUUAGGUUUCCGAAAUUGUCAAUAGGUGUUAAUGUGAAAUUGCGCCCUAUGCUUGGCUGGUGAACAAUCCUUGGCGUACCCAAAUUUAGUCAGAAUAGUCUCCAUCUUACCUGAUACCACAAUGAGAUAUGCAGGACAGAAUAUGAAUCGAUGGGUCGGCUAAUCACAAUUUAGUGUACUUUUUGGAUCCCCAUGUUUGACUGCAACAUGAUCUUUUGAUAUUACGCAGCAGCAGUCCAUAAAAGACAUGGUAGAAACCAGUCAUGGGACAGAAAAAACACGUAUUGCUGCCAUGGAGCAAGGCGCCAAAUCCCUUACGGAUCAGAAUAACAUUUUCAUUUAUUUCAAUGGGAAAAGAUGAUUUGAGAUACAAGCGUUUUGAGUUUGGCCAUGAAACAAAUUUAACUUGUAUCUCAACACGGUCCUGGAUGUUUUCGUCUACUUUGUCGGGGAACUCAACAUAACCUAAAACCGACUAUUUGUUUCAAGGACCCACACCCUCAUGCAAAUGUUUGUGUUUUGGGGGUUUGGAAUACAACCCCCUCAAAACUCACUCAAUGGCACCCCCUGCAAGGUUAGGAACAAGUCAAAAGAUCGCUGUGGAGAACUGCAGAGUGAUUCUGCAGAGGAGGACUUUGCUCGUACCUUUUGGUGGCCUCGCAGCACCAACUGGUCACCGGGAGACACUCUUCUCACCACACUUGGCACCAUUUGGCCACUUCAAAGCUCCCGGUGUUCUUUGUUCCUUUAUCUGGCGGACAAAUUUUGUAGUCAACAGAAACCUGAUAACACUAUUAGUGAGGCCACGUCACAGCAAGGCUGGAGCCUCUUUGUCAGAUGAAGCCGCAAGGUGUCUUCAGUCUAAUUUAGAGAUGCCAUAGUUAUUGGUCACACCGUGAAGUUUGAAUAUAUUGAAUAUAUUGCAUAUUGUGCGACAUUGUUGCGCUUUUAGCACAUGGCAAACAAGUCACGAGCUGCAAAGUCAAAUAUGGAUUUAAGACAGUGUUCACUCAUGCACUGAAAAAUACGUCACUUGGUCAGGGCUGAAGAAACGUUGCAUGCCAACCUGGAACUGCUUUUGUUUUCAGGAGAGGAUUGACUGACAAUUCCAUAAUUCAUCAAAUUAUUCAGUUCAGACUCUUUGGUGUGUAAAUUCAACGGGUGGAGUCGUGAAUAAUUUUCGCGAUUCAUUCUUGCGUGCGUUCAACGUGUCUAAGCUUCGGUUCAUUUCCUCAGCCAUCACAUUUGCAAGAACCCGACCAAAAUGUAAACUCCAAAAUGCUUCUUUUGAGCCUUUGUGUAACAUAAAAUAUACUUUAUUGACCUAACUUUUUAGGGCAAGGAACGUUGAGCUGGACACCACGCUCACUAUAACACGAUAGAACCAUGUGAGCUCCACCCUUCACCCGCCCAACCUUUCAGAUGAGACAGCGAAUGCUAAGCUAGUGAGUUAGACUUUUGGGGCUCGGUUCUUUUUUGUUGUUGAUAAAAUACUGACAAAAACAAUUCCUCACCUCAUUUGUCAAAGUGCCCUGAGGCCAGAGACUAUAAGCUUGAAUGGCUCCCCAUAGUCAGCUCAUCACCUCGCACGGCAAAUUGCAGCCAUCUGGGAAUGAAUGUGAGAAUGCAAAUACUGUAUUUUGUGUUUGGAGCUGUGACAUGAGGAAUGACUUUCGAGUUUGCUGUUCUCAUAGUUGUAAUUAGUUCUGUUAUCACAGGAGGAAGUAGUUGAGUAAUGGCAUGGAUUUGGGUUUUCGUGGUUUUGAUGUGGGAAACCCAAGCACGGGAAGGUUGAAGAAGGCAAAACAAAAGACGGCGGCAUGAUUUA